GACGGCAGUGGAAGGGAAUAGGGUUUCAAUAGUAGGACAAUGGCUAGAAAGAACUCCUUUUAGUUCUUCUGCACAUAUUUCUUAUUGAGCAAGACAAGGAAACAUGAAAAACACAGGCCCAGUAGAAGAAGGAGGAAGAGGAGAAGGUGGAGGAGGCGACAACGCAGACAAUAUCUGCCAAAAUGAGAAGAGCCAGAGUUGGAUCCCCAAAAUCAUCAAGAAAAGAGUGUGCAGCACCUUUGUAGAAGAUUCUGUCAGUAAUGGUGCAUUGUGUCAGUGUGGGGCUGUGAGAGAUGACCAUGCCUCUGCAGCUCUUGGAGACUAUUUCAGCACAGCGAUUGUGAACCACUGGGAAAGCGUGCAGCACUCCUCUGAACAACCAACUGAUGCCUUUGGAGAGGUGCAGUUUGCAGGAGCCAGCAAGAGGCACAGCCAUUUUCUGCGCCUGUCAUGGAGCACUGAGCCUUCUUUGGUGUACAACAUAUUGACAACCAUUUGGGGUCUUCCUACACCCAACCUGGUUGUUUCUGUUGUGGGUGGAAAUAGCAGAACACAGAUAAAGACCUGGGUACGGGAGAUCCUCAGACAGGGACUGGUGAAAGCGUCACAAAGCACAGGUGCAUGGAUAUUAACUACAGGUCUGCGCGAAAGGCUUGGUCAGUGUGUUGGACAGGCAGUGAGAGAUCAUGCAGCUGCGGCAUCUUCUGUCUCUCUCAACAAGGUGGUAGCACUGGGCAUCGCCCCGUGGGGUGUAGUGGAAAAACGAGAGCAGCUGGUCAACCCUCAGGGGAGCUUUCCUGCAAGGUACUAUGUCCAAAACAUAUCUCAGGAGUCCUGCUACCUGGACAACAACUACCAGGCCUUCCUGCUGGUGGAUGAUGGGAGUGUGGGCCGCAAAGGAGGAGAGAUAGGUUUCAGAGCCAGACUGGAGGAAUACAUUUCCCACCAGCGCACAGGCAUAUGGGGAAGUGGCAGCAUCGACAUCCCUGUUGUUUGUAUGCUGAUAUCAGGGGGAACAGACAUGCUGAAGAGAAUGGAUCUCUCUUUGAAAAACUCCAUCCCCUGGCUGGUGCUGGCUGGCUCAGGAGGCUUGGCUGACUUCCUGAGUGAUGUCUUGGAGAACCUGUCUCCAGCACCAGCUGUGCAGUCUUCUGGCGAAGGGGACAGUGAGGCGGGUCCCAGCGUGGAUCUUAAAGACAGAGUGGCAGAACGGUUUAAGAAGCACUUUCCUUCGGAGGCAAAGACUGAAAAGCUAGUUGAAUGGGCUUUUAGCAUUUACCAGAAUAGAGGUUUGAUUACAGUCUACCAUGGAGAACAAGAGAGUCCAAAUGACUUUGACACUGUCCUGCUUAAAACACUUGUGGGAGCAAGUAAGCAGCGUGCAUCAGUUGAUGCCAGCCCUUAUAGUGAUGAGCUAAAGUUAGCAGUCACAUGGAACAGGGUUGACAUUGCCAAGAGUGAACUUUUCAAUGGUGACAUCCAGUGGAAGUAUAAAGAUUUGGAAGACUCAAUGACAGAUGCCCUGAUCAAUGACAAGCCCCAGUUUGUUCGGCUUUUCACUGAGAAUGGUUUGAACAUCAUGCAGUACCUCACUUAUGGCAGGCUGGAAACCCUCUAUCGCUCUGUGCCAGAUGGGACCGUGCUCUAUCAGCUACUACAGCACUGCCUAGAGGAACGGCUGGGAAAUAUGGCAUCUGCACAACCAUCAUCAGAACAACAGAGUUCAUCCUCAAAAGUGGCGGCAGAUAAGACUCAGAGAAGACCAAGUAGAGAGUUUACCCUUUAUGAGGUGUCAAAGGUCCUGAAAUUGUUAAUGGGUGAUGUCUGCCAGCCUUUCUACUAUAAAGCUUUGAGCUUAGAGUUGACUUCAUUCAACAGGACAGCUAUGAAGCGUGCCAGUACGAUUCUGCGUGGAUAUUCUGUGUAUCAGCAGCAGCGCUGCCCUCAUCCCUGGGCUUCACUCUUCCUCUGGGCUGUACUGCAGAACCGCAGUGAGAUGGCCCUUUUCUUCUGGGAGAUGGCAGGUGAGGCAGUCCUGAGUGCUCUUGGUGGCUGUAAGAUACUCAGAGAACUGUCCAAACGGGAGGAUGAAACUGAAACCAAACUCUCCAUGAAAGAACUGGCCCAGAAGUUUGAGAACCUGGCUCAUGAUAUUUUCAGCUCUUGCUAUCGCAGUGAUGAAAACCGCUCUUUCAGCCUGCUGAUUAGAAAGUCUCCUGUCUGGGGUCACAGCACCUGUCUUCAGAUGGGUGUGAGCGCUGAUGCUCGGCUUUUCUUCAGUAAUGAUGGUGUACAGUCUCUGCUAUCUGAGAUCUGGUGGGGUGAUAUGAAGAGGAACACAGAGAUUUGGAAGCUUCUGCUCACAUUCUUCUGCCCCAUCCUCUGCUACACCAACCUCAUCACCUUUAGGAAUCGAAACGAUCAGUUGGAAGAGGAGGAGAAGAUGCUUAUGGAGGAUGAGCUGGAUCAGGACACUGACAGUCUUUACGGGACCACUGUCUGCUCUUACUCUGACAUCAAGCAGCAUGAAGUUGACUCUAAAGGUCACAGGAGUGGUGCCAUUAAAGGCGUACCCCAACGACCGCCACAAAGUCCAUUCAUAGUGUCACGCUGGCGUCAAUUCUGGUUUGCACCGGUCACCUCAUUUCUGGGCAACGUCCUGAUGUACUUCCUGUUUCUCUUCCUUUUCGCCUACGUGCUGUUGGUGGAUUUCAAGCCCCCACCACCCUCAGGCCCAACUGGUACUGAGUGUGUGUUGUACUUCUGGGUAUUCACCAUCGUUUGUGAAGAGAUCCGACAGACACUUUUUUUGGGGACGACCUGGACUCAAAGUUUCAGACUCUACAUUCAGGAUGUGUGGAAUAAAUGUGAUCUCACUGCCAUCAGCCUGUUCAUUGUCGGACUGAUUUGCAGGAUGUUUCACCGGUCACAUGAAUUUGGCCGAGAUGUCCUUUGUUUGGACUACAUGGUCUUCACCAUUCGCCUCAUUCACAUUUUUGCCAUUCACAAGCAGCUGGGACCAAAACUCAUCAUUGUAGGAAAGAUGAUGAAGGAUGUCUUCUUCUUCCUCUUCUUCCUGGGUGUGUGGGUCUUGGCGUAUGGAGUUGCCAAUCAGGCUCUGAUCUACACCUACGAUCCAAACCCGAAUCGCAUUUUUCUGAGAGUUUUCUACAUGCCAUACUUGCACAUCUUUGGAUACGGCUCUUCCAUCGAGGAAGAGAUGGAUGUGGGCCGGGAACUAAACUGCACAGACAAUGUGACUUUGAUUGAGAGCGGUGAAGAGCCGUGUAGAAAUCAGGAUAGUAACUGGCUAGUAGUGAUUCUGCUAGUCGUAUAUCUCCUGGUCACCAACAUCCUGCUCAUCAACCUAGUCAUUGCCAUGUUUAGCUACACUUUCUCUGAAGUGCAGGAGCACAGUGACACCUACUGGAAGUUCCAGCGUUACAACCUGAUUGUUGAGUAUCACUCCCGUCCUUCUUUGGCUCCUCCUUUCAUUAUCCUCUCACACAUCAAAGUCUUUAUCAAGAGGGUCAUCCGCAAAGUGCCCUCUGUAAAGAUCCACCACUUUGUGUUAGACUUGGAACCAAAGGCAGCUAACAGAUUAUCAACGUGGGAAACGAUUCAGAAGGAAGACUUCCUAACUGCUCGAAACAAGAUCCAGAAAAGCAGCGACUCAGAAAGGCUCAAACGGAUGUCUGCCAAGAUAGAUGAUGUGCUUAAACGUCUGACUGAAAGCAAAGAGUUUGAACACAGACUACAGGCUCAGAUGGAGCAUUACUCAACUGUCCUCAACUGGGUUGUGGAUAUUUUAGCCCAAGGAAGUACAUUCAAACCUCCUCGUCCCCCACCUGCAUUACGAGAUUCACUCCCCUCCUCUUCCAGAUCCACUGGAUUUCAGCCUUAAAUUAAUGCGGUCCCUUAAAUUCACUUCACUUCAGGAGGCAAUGGAAAUCAUUGCAUGGGCUCAGGAACACUUCUGGAAACCAUUAUCUGUGAAACUAGUUCAUUGUGCCAUUCACAAAUGCAAGUUUAAAUUCUAUCAUGCAAGAAAAGAAAACAACAACAACAACAACAAAACAUAUGAGGGCAUUGAAUAUGAUACAAGAACACUGCCAUAUUCUCUGGGCCAGAGCUUAUUUAAAAUAUAUUGAAGCAAAGUGAAAAACUGCUCUAUGGUCAGAUGAAUUGAAGUUUGAAAUGCUUUUUGCAAAACAUUAAUGCUGCAGUGUAGAAGCCUGCAUCUGUGAUGUUAUUGGGGUGCAAAGUACCAGGAACUGACGGCUUGCACAUCUGGAAAAUCAAAAUUAAACCUUUAAUUUUAACCUUAGGGUUUAAAAGCACAUGAUAUAUUCCAAUGUCUUAUUAUUUAUUUAACAAACACUAAGUAAAAAUAAUAAUCUCAGAGAUUUUUAUAGACUACAUCAUUUUUUGUUAUGUCCUGAUACCCUAAACUUAUAAAACUAUGGUGUGCCUUUUUUCACAUUACUGUAAUAUUUAAAAAAAUCGUUCUCCUAUCUAAUUCUCGACACAAAAUCAAAAUGCCAAGUGAAUGAACAUAUUCCAUAGUAUCAGGCCUUUCUGGUUACUUGCCUGGUUACUUAACCUACAAGGAAAAGAACCAAAGGGUAAAAUGUGGGUUUCUUUUGAGUUCCAUUUUCAUGCAGAUGACACAACUAUUUAUUGUUAUUAUCUUUUUCAUUAGUAAAAUUACUUGAAUUUCUUCACUCUGUCUUAGAUGUUGUUCAGUGACAUUAAACGCAACUUCAGCUUGUGUCAAAUCCAGACAAAUCCAAAUCCAGGGUAUUUUCAAAUGGGAAAGAGUUUUGUCCAAGCUGAGACUUUCUCUUAUCAAGUGCUGAUAGACUCUGCAGUGUUUUUUUCCCUUUAUUGGAUUACUGUGAUCUGCUCUUUAUGAAUAUACCAGUCCAGUACCUAAAGUGUCUGGAUACUGUCUGUCAUUGUGCUUUAUGUUUUAUUACUGGCUGUGAAAAUCAUGUACAUCACUUUGUAUAUCAGCAUCUCUGUGUGUGAUUGUUUUUUUAUUUAUAAAUCUCUGGUUGGGCUGGUUGUCUACAUAUAUGUCUAUAUAGACGUCUGUCUGUAUAUGUGUCCACACUGUUUCUCUCCAUUUGUCUGUGCUAAAUAUCAGUUGUGUUAGUUUCUUUGCUAUUAGAUUGUUAUGAGUUGUACUUGUUGAAACUUCUGGUGUCCCCUUGCACAGGUUUCUCUUGAAAAAGUGAAUUUAGUCUCCAUGAGGCUUUUACAUGAAUAAAUAAGGGAUAAUAAUA